GUUCUUCGGAAUGACUGGGCGUAAAGGGCACGUAGGCGGUGAAUCGGGUUGAAAGUGAAAGUCGCCAAAAAGUGGCGGAAUGCUCUCGAAACCAAUUCACUUGAGUGAGACAGAGGAGAGUGGAAUUUCGUGUGUAGGGGUGAAAUCCGUAGAUCUACGAAGGAACGCCAAAAGCGAAGGCAGCUCUCUGGGUCCCGACCGACGCUGGGGUGCGAAAGCAUGGGGAGCGAACAGG
rnacentral:rRNA from 1 species